rnacentral:rRNA from 1 species
CUUUCUCCUGCCGGCGACCGGCGCACGGGUGAGUAACACGGUAUGCAACCUGCCCCUGUCAGGGGGACAACCCGCCGAAAGGCGGGCUAAACCCGCGUACAUGCCACCGGGGCAUCCCGGAGGCAGGAAAGGCUUCGGCCGGACAGGGAUGGGCACGCGGCGCAUUAGGCAGUAGGCGGGGUAACGGCCCACCUAACCGACGAUGCGUAGGGGUUCUGAGAGGAAGGUCCCCCACACUGGUACUGAGACACGGACCAGACUCCUACGGAAGGCAGCAG